CCGAAGAUAAACGCCGCGAUUGGGACUAAGUCGUAACAAGGUAACCGUAGGUGAACCUGCAGAAGGAUCA
rnacentral:rRNA from 1 species